rnacentral:tRNA from 1 species
GCCUGAUUGGCUCAAUUGGUGGAGCAUUAGAUUUUUGAUCUCGGGGUUGUGAGUUCAAGUCCCACAUUGGAUU